AGACAUCUGGGCAAGUCAACAGGAAGGUGGAUAUCCAAAUCUCUCUCUUCGCAAUGAGUUUCCAGUUAGAUGGAGGAGAGAGUAAUAAAACACAGAGCUGAGAUUCCUGACUUCACAGAUCCCUGAGGAGAUGUUUACUAAAGGGAAUCUUCUGGUCACUGUUACCUUCCUCCGUACUUACCUGCCUCAUGGAGAACCCGAAAGGAAGAAGCUAUACGACUGGGGACACAUGUCUUAGAAGCACACUCAUUAGAUAAAGUGUCGCAUACUCUUUGAUAAGACAACCCUUACAAGAUUUUUGCCCAGCGAAAGUGGCACGUGGAACAUGGAAUGACAUUUCAUAAAGAUAAAUCCAGAGAUUAGUGCUGAAGACUACACCCCUGUGUAGUCCCACACAGGCUACCCCAGACCAGCCUGGCGGGCUCUGCACUAGGCCUCCCAUCAGGCGAGAGCCAACGCUCCUCAGCCCGGCUCCACCUCAUUCAGAAGAAAGUGUGUCUCCCGGCCUCACAUUGCGCUGAAUGCAAGGAUACCGAGAUAAACCAGGCUUUCCUUCGCUCAGAGUACAGUUGCAGACUUGGUAAUGACUGAGCCAAGCCAGACUGACUGUGAUAAGAUAAUAAAUUAACUACCAGUCAGGAGCUAAGUCAGCAGAUGUGCGAACAUUUUAGAGGUAACAUCAUAAACUAGAACAGAGGAGCUCUUGGGAAGAAAAAGGGCUUGGAAAUUAUACCUGGAAAGAUACCGCUAAUAAUGAUCAAGAAGAAAAAACAAAUCCAGUUUGGAAGUGAGCAAUCAUUUAUGAUGUAAAAUAUUUCUUAGAAAUGGAAUCUAGAUAAUGCUUGGAAUAUGCUUUAAACUACCUAUAUUUAAUUUGUUUUUCUUGUGAUUUUUGUAUUGUUUGGUGUAAAAUAAUCUUAAUCUUUCCAGGUGGUGUCUAAUUAAGGCACAUUUACUGAUAUGAGUCAUUUUCUAAAUAUACUUUAUCUAAGAAAAUUUAAAAUUUUUGGAUCAACUAAAAACUCUCUCAAUUAUUUUAGAGUUAACUCUUCCAAAUUCUAAAAUGUAUUCAUAAAUUAUAUACAACUAUUUUAAUGGUCACUGUGGGCCCAACUUCUGUAUAUAAAUUUACCUUCUUAUUUUACAGGUGCUAAUGUUUAAAGAUACUUAAAUAUGCCAAUUUCUUUCCUCUAUGUAGAAGUUUGAAAUACAUUCUAUGCCCUGAGAGAACCCUUUGAAA
rnacentral:lncRNA from 1 species